AACGAACGCUGGCGGCAGGCUUAACACAUGCAAGUCGAGCGCCCCGCAAGGGGAGCGGCAGACGGGUGAGUAACGCGUGGGAACGUACCCUUUGCUACGGAAUAGCUCCGGGAAACUGGAAUUAAUACCGUAUGUGCCCUACGGGGGAAAGAUUUAUCGGCAAAGGAUCGGCCCGCGUUGGAUUAGCUAGUUGGUGAGGUAAUGGCCUACCAAGGCGACGAUCCAUAGCUGGUCUGAGAGGAUGAUCAGCCACAUUGGGACUGAGACACGGCCCAAACUCCUACGGGAGGCAGCAGUGGGGAAUAUUGGACAAUGGGCGCAAGCCUGAUCCAGCCAUGCCGCGUGAGUGAUGAAGGCCUUAGGGUUGUAAAGCUCUUUCACCGGAGAAGAUAAUGACGGUAUCCGGAGAAGAAGCCCCGGCUAACUUCGUGCCAGCCGCCGCAGUCAGAC
rnacentral:rRNA from 1 species